UUAUGGACAGUGUAAGGAUGAGUUGUUCAUUUUUUUUUUUUCUUUAUUAAUUAUUUCCAAUUCACAUUUUAAAAGAGCAGAGAGAUACAGAGGGUAUCUCUAAGAGAUUUUCAUUGAUAUCGUUUCAAUUGGAAGUGGAACUUGUGAAAUGCCUCUACCACUCACUGUUGUAACCAAACUGGAAAACAGGGCCGGUGAGGAAAUCGUGAUUUGUGAGUGCCGUAGCACAGCACCGGAGGGCCAGUAUGGAGAUACCAUCACGCUGGCCUUAAACCAACACAGGGAAAUCAGUGCUACAAAGAUUAAUAGACGGUGUGUCGAAUCCUUAAGGUCUUCUGUACUGAAAAUUUUCGUCGGCGGCGUUGACACCGGUCGUAUAUUGAAGCCCUGUGACUUGGUUGACUACUCCAGGAUCGUGUUCAAGCAUGAGAAUGGAAACCUGCUCAUCAUAGGCCAUAGAGACACCUCUCCGUGUCCCAUGCAUAGGGUCAACGGACUGCGUUUUCUUAUGGGAAGAAACAACUACCAGGAUAUGGCUGAAGAAGAGAUCGCUUGAGUACAGACUAUCAUCCGGUCCGCCUAGGAAGGGGUCUUUGCGAAAAAGAAAAAUGUUUUAAAGCUCUAUAUAGAAGUUCUAAGAGCUCUAAUAGGAGGUGGGCUCUAAUAAGAGGUGGGUCUCGUUAUCAUGUGACGUUUUGGUCUUUUUUGUUUUUUUUUGGAUUUUUCAUAUCAUUAGAGUUCAAUUAGAGCUCUAAAAUUAGAGAGAUGCAUCAUUGUUGGCGAAAAAUGUUUAAGAUCACUAAUUUGGAAGUUCUAGGAGAGUUCUAAUUAGUGUCUGUUUGGUGCAGCUUAUAAGCUACUUAUUUCAGUUUUUAGCUUAAUUUAAGCUAUUUUGAUGUGUUUGGUUUA